AUACUUACCUGGCAGGGGAGAUACCUGAUCAGAAGGGUUUUCCCUAGGCGAGGCUUAUCCAUUGCACUCCGGAUGUGCUGACCCCUGCGAUUUCCCCAAAUGGGGAAACUCGACUGCAUAAUUGUGGUAGUGGGGGACGCGUUCGCGCUCUCGCCUG
rnacentral:snRNA from 1 species